GAUCUGAAUAAGUAGGUGGCCUUUAGGGGCUGACAGUACCUUCCUUCCAAAAUGGAAGAAUGGAUCAGUCUUCAGAGAAGUCUUGAAUGGGAAUGCAGCCCUGCACUGCACUUGACAGCCUCACACAGACUCCAUGCUCAGGUCCCAGGACAGAGACCCCAUGAGUGGGAACCUGGAUCGAGGACUUACACAUGGUUUCUGGUGAUAGCAUGGACCAUGGACACCCACAUGGCCUCCAGUGGCAGCCCAGACCACGGACAUCUACAUGAACUUCAGGUUUAACAUGACCCGGAACCGAGGACCACAGAUACCAACAUGUACAGAAAAUGAACAGUUCUGCAUUAUGAAGAGCCUCCCACCGUUGCUCAGAGCCCCGGUGAUUGUGUGACUGGGCAGCAUGUUGCCGGACUGAAUCUGCUCAAGCCCUAGCCUGCUGCACACCACCUUACUUGGCAAGAUGGUUCCAGUUGACUGCAGUCUUCUCUCAGGUCACUGUCUCUCAAACCUAUCACCGCCGAUGCAUUUCUAGUUCUGCCUCUCACCACUGCGCAUGUAGCACUCCGUCCCUCCAUCUCUUUCUCUUCUCCACUACAUAUUCGUUUGUCACAGUGGCGUUGCCAACCGCAGUGUGGUACAUGGUGUAUUUUUUUUUUUGUCCAAUCAGCUUUACAUGCAAAUAAAUAUUCAUUGCAAUG
rnacentral:lncRNA from 1 species